UCCAUGUUAGUGAAUUUCACAUGUGGUUGGGGUGUGGAAUCCUGGUGUUGCUGAAUACUAGCUCCGGUCAACAUUUUGUCUUCAUGGGGAUGCCUUUUUUUUGCCAUACUACCCCGCCAGAAGCCGUUCUUUAGUGAAAAGUUGGAGGGGUUUAAUCUAAAAAUCUUCAACACUAUGUGUUACGUCCCAUGAGAUUGCGAGUCCGCAGCCGAUGUCGGUCUAGUCUACAACGCCGUUUCUUUAUGGAAUCGUGUGGUCCUGGCACGGAGAUCCUUGAGCCAAUGCUGGCUUUUGUCCAUGAGAGAAGAGUGGCUUCCAGCAACAUUCUGCUCCAUCAUUAUCUUCGCGACGUACGAUCAACCAGCUUCCCUGCUUCUUAUGCUAAUACAACUUGUCUUACUUCACUGGCGAGUUGGAUCACUUCAGUGUUCGCUUUCGUCACACCUGCAGUCGAUCGCGACGGGAAUAUGCCCAGGUGAACAGCAACCCGUUGGAUUGGAUUAUCCAUCGAUGAUGGACGGCUUGGCUCUUCCUCACCUUCCUUGUAUUUCU